CCUACGGGAGGCUGCAGUGGGGAAUAUUGGACAAUGGGGGCAACCCUGAUCCAGCCAUGCCGCGUGUGUGAAGAAGGCCCUCGGGUUGUAAAGCACUUUCAGUGAGGAAGAACGCCUGGUGGUUAAUACCCAUCAGGAAAGACAUCACUCACAGAAGAAGCACCGGCUAACUCCGUGCCAGCAGCCGCGGUAAUACGGAGGGUGCGAGCGUUAAUCGGAAUUACUGGGCGUAAAGCGCGCGUAGGUGGCUUGAUAAGCCGGUUGUGAAAGCCCCGGGCUCAACCUGGGAACGGCAUCCGGAACUGUCAAGCUAGAGUGCAGGAGAGGAGGGUAGAAUUCCCGGUGUAGCGGUGAAAUGCGUAGAGAUCGGGAGGAAUACCAGUGGCGAAGGCGGCCUUCUGGACUGACACUGACACUGAGGUGCGAAAGCGUGGGUAGCAAACAGGAUUAGAUACCCUAGUAGUC
rnacentral:rRNA from 1 species